rnacentral:lncRNA from 1 species
AUGAUGCAACUGGACCAGGGCACGUGGGUCCGGUUCGCAGUGUGGAUGCUGAUAGGCUUUGCCAUCUACUUUGGCUAUGGGGUCUGGCACAGUGAGGAAGCAUCCCUGGCUGCUGGCCAGGCAAAGACUCCUGACAGCAACUUGGACCAGUGCAAAUGACCCAUAGCCCCACCCACCAAGGUGACAGCGGUUGACGGGUGCCGGCAGAGGCCUGGGACCCUCACACUCUCUCCCCUCAUGCCUCGGGACCAGCUCACACCCCCAAUGUCACCAAAGCUGGUUUGUAGCCUCAGCCAUAGCUGACAUGGCUUGGUCAGACAGCCCUGCAGCCAGCUCCAGAGAUCCUGGUCACUUCUGGACAGUUCCUUGGUUUUUCUCAUCUCCCUCUGAACAAAGAAAGCAGCCCUUCUCCCUGCCAGCUGGGCGCUUUGCUGCUUCGGCCCCAGCAGAAGGGAGGCCCCCUUCUCCUCUUAUUCGGGAAGCAGGCCUCCCUCCUUCCCUGGGACCACCCUGCGUACACUCAUACGUACACUCCAGAGGGUUAGUGGGCGUCUAUCUCCCUGUCAACCCAGCCAGGACAGCCACCUGACCCCAAGAUGCGAGACUAGCCCAGUGAGGAAGCUGUCUCCCAGCAGUGCAACCCAACAGCCCAUCAACUCCAGAAUACCUAGAGGACCAACAGGCCCGCAUCUUACUGCUUUCAGGCUGGGGUAUUAGGAUGGGGCCCUGAUCUGCAUAGAGGCUUCUGAACCAAGCCCAGCACAGUGUGAGCCAUUCUCACGCGCAGAAAACGGGAGGUCCCUGGAGUGAUCGAUUGUAUCAAGACUGGAUGGCCAGCUCUGCUCACGUGGACGAGGGCGACAUUCUCUAGCCUUAUUCUUAGCAGGCCUGGAUCAGUUUCUGCUGCUCUUGGCAUCUGUCCUCACUGUCCUGAGUCACUGGAACACGAGGCUAUAUCAGUAGGAUUGUCAUUCUCUCAGGUCUUCCAAGGUGGUUCGGACAGGUGGCACUCAAUACAGGGUGGUGACACUCUUCUAACCGCUGACGCGAAGGACUGCUGUGGGGGUCCUCCAGUCGCUUGCUGUGAAUCACUCCACUGGAUUAACUUGGGGCUCACUGUUGUUAAUGUUCCAACCUUGGGAGAUGGUCAAAUAAUUACCCAGUGCCAUAUCAGCUUGUGGUUCGUGAUGUGUGCUCUGCACAAGAGGUGGCUUGGGGUCCUACCGCUAUCCCUCCUGUAGCUGUGGUGCCUUUGCCUGCCGUGCUACUGGUAAGAUUUCUACCCUGGCCUGGACCUUCUGCUCCCCGAGUCUGCCUUCAUUUCCCCUCCCCCAUGCUCCUUAUCUCUCUGGGUGAGGCCCUAGGGCCUACACCUCUUCACUUACUCUGUGUAGAUAGAAAGGAUGGUGAGUGAGUGCUGGUGGAUUCCUGGAACCAGCAGGGCACCCCUCCUCCACACCCACGCCAUGACAACAGGGCGGGGAAGGCUGGUGUCUUAGACUAAUAUUAAUGCUGUUUUUAAAGCCUAGCUUUCUUUCCUGUCUGGCCUUUGACCCAUGUCUGGUGGAAACCGGCCGGGUAAACUGAUGACACUGUCUUCCCCUCUGCUCUGGAAGGUUCUUGGGAAUGGCCGGAGUUGGUGGAACUGGCCUGGCACGGAACCUAGUGGUGGAGCACUUGCCUAGCAUAUGCAGGGCCCCAGUGCUACGGAAAAUUAGAGAAACCGCCCGGUUGCUGUGUCAGCCAGUGGAGGGUAGCAGAGCAGCCAAGAGCCAGGCAUCGUGCCAGGCCCUGACCCCCAUCCAGGCACUUUGUCUCCUAGGCUGUCUGAGAAAACUUCAAAGGGAGUAUUAUAAGACCCUAAAUGUUGAGUUUCUAAAGGUAUUUAAAGUUAUGUAGAUUGGUGCUGUAAAAUAUUUUGAUAAAUAUUAACUUAUUUCGUUCGGGUCUUAAUUACCUGUUGUCUUCUUAGGGCCUGUUAGAUAUGUCUGGGUUGGUUUUUUUUCCCCCCCUUGUUACUUACAUAGGCAGAGAAGGAGUGCCCAGUGAGGUGUUGGGAGAAUUAGGUUUCACUCUGUAGCUGCCCUAGUCUAGCCUCUGCCUCAGGCUCCUGAGUGCUAAGGUCGUAGGUGUG